GCCCCGAUAGUGUAGCACGGCCCAGCAUCGCGGGUUUUCGACCCGUAGACCCGGGUUCAAAUCCCGGUCGGGGCACCA
rnacentral:tRNA from 1 species